rnacentral:lncRNA from 1 species
UUUUGUGAUUGAAUUACCCUCAUUAUCGGAAAAAGGCAUCUCGAUUCACUAAACUUUCUAUGCGUGAGAUUCAUUCAUUCAAGAGUUCUUUUCAUGGUUUGAAAUUGUGACCUCAUGUUCACAUGACAAUCAGUUACGCCAAAAUCCCCCUUCAGUAUCCAUUUCAUUAAUUUACACUCAGAGGCGGCUUAACCCCCAAAACAUUAAAGCGGUCGCUUUAGGCCUCACAAAUUAGAGGCCCCAAAAACUACUCUUUUUAUAUGUAAUUAGAUUAUUUAUUAUAUUUAGUAUUAAAUAGUGAUAAUAAAUUUUUUCAAUCAUUUUUUGCUAUUUUGUCACGAAUCGUUAAUAACAUAAUUUAUAUUUUAUGUAGUUUUUUUUUCGGAGUAGGUUGAAAAAAUUUAAAUGAAAAUGAAA